rnacentral:rRNA from 1 species
GAUGAACGCUGGCGGCGUGCCUAAUACAUGCAAGUCGAGCGAACGGACGAGAAGCUUGCUUCUCUGAUGUUAGCGGCGGACGGGUGAGUAACACGUGGAUAACCUACCUAUAAGACUGGGAUAACUUCGGGAAACCGGAGCUAAUACCGGAUAAUAUUUUGAACCGCAUGGUUCAAAAGUGAAAGACGGUCUUGCUGUCACUUAUAGAUGGAUCCGCGCUGCAUUAGCUAGUUGGUAAGGUAACGGCUUACCAAGGCAACGAUGCAUAGCCGACCUGAGAGGGGGAUCGGCCACACUGGAACUGAGACACGGUCCAGACUCCUACGGGAGGCAGCAGUAGGGAAUCUUCCGCAAUGGGCGAAAGCCUGACGGAGCAACGCCGCGUGAGUGAUGAAGGUCUUCGGAUCGUAAAACGCUGUUAUUAGGGAAGAACAUAUGUGUAAGUAACUGUGCACAUCUUGACGGUACCUAAUCAGAAAGCCACGGCUAACUACGUG